rfam:Picea glauca, whole genome shotgun sequence.
GGGUGUGAUCAUACCAGUGUUAAUGCGCCGGAUCCCAUCAAAACUUUGCAGUUAAGCACGCUUGGGCUAGAAAAUAACUAGGAUGGGUGACCUCGCGGGAAGUACUAGUAUUUCACCCU